AUGAACGCUAGCGACAGGCUUAACACAUGCAAGUCGAGGGGCAGCGGGGGUAGCGAUACCCGCCGGCGACCGGCGCACGGGUGAGUAACGCGUAUGCAACUUGCCUAUCAGAGGGGGAUAACCCGGCGAAAGUCGGACUAAUACCGCAUGAAGCAGGGAUCCCGCAUGGGAAUAUUUGCUAAAGAUUCAUCGCUGAUAGAUAGGCAUGCGUUCCAUUAGGCAGUUGGCGGGGUAACGGCCCACCAAACCGACGAUGGAUAGGGGUUCUGAGAGGAAGGUCCCCCACAUUGGUACUGAGACACGGACCAAACUCCUACGGGAGGCAGCAGUGAGGAAUAUUGGUCAAUGGCCGAGAGGCUGAACCAGCCAAGUCGCGUGAGGGAUGAAGGUUCUAUGGAUCGUAAACCUCUUUUAUAAGGGAAUAAAGUGCGGGACGUGUCCCGUUUUGUAUGUACCUUAUGAAUAAGGAUCGGCUAACUCCGUGCCAGCAGCCGCGGUAAUACGGAGGAUCCGAGCGUUAUCCGGAUUUAUUGGGUUUAAAGGGUGCGUAGGCGGCCUUUUAAGUCAGCGGUGAAAGUCUGUGGCUCAACCAUAGAAUUGCCGUUGAAACUGGGGGGCUUGAGUAUGUUUGAGGCAGGCGGAAUGCGUGGUGUAGCGGUGAAAUGCAUAGAUAUCACGCAGAACCCCGAUUGCGAAGGCAGCCUGCCAAGCCAUUACUGACGCUGAUGCACGAAAGCGUGGGGAUCAAACAGGAUUAGAUACCCUGGUAGUCCACGCAGUAAACGAUGAUCACUAGCUGUUUGCGAUACAGUGUAAGCGGCACAGCGAAAGCGUUAAGUGAUCCACCUGGGGAGUACGCCGGCAACGGUGAAACUCAAAGGAAUUGACGGGGGCCCGCACAAGCGGAGGAACAUGUGGUUUAAUUCGAUGAUACGCGAGGAACCUUACCCGGGUUUGAACGCAUUCGGACCGAGGUGGUAACACCUUUUCUAGCAAUAGCCGUUUGCGAGGUGCUGCAUGGUUGUCGUCAGCUCGUGCCGUGAGGUGUCGGCUUAAGUGCCAUAACGAGCGCAACCCUUGCCACUAGUUACUAACAGGUGAUGCUGAGGACUCUGGUGGGACUGCCAGCGUAAGCUGCGAGGAAGGCGGGGAUGACGUCAAAUCAGCACGGCCCUUACAUCCGGGGCGACACACGUGUUACAAUGGCGUGGACAAAGGGAGGCCACCUGGCGACAGGGAGCGAAUCCCCAAACCACGUCUCAGUUCGGAUCGGAGUCUGCAACCCGACUCCGUGAAGCUGGAUUCGCUAGUAAUCGCGCAUCAGCCAUGGCGCGGUGAAUACGUUCCCGGGCCUUGUACACACCGCCCGUCACACCAUGGGAGUUGGGAAUGCCCGAAGCCAGUGACCUAACCGAAAGGAAGGAGCUGUCGAAGGCAGGCUCGAUAACUGGGGUG
rnacentral:rRNA from 1 species